rnacentral:rRNA from 1 species
UGGGGAAUAUGGCACAAUGGGCGCAAGCCUGAUGCAGCGACGCCGCGUGAGGGAUGACGGCCUUCGGGUUGUAAACCUCUUUCAGCUCCGACGAAGCGCAAGUGACGGUAGGAGCAGAAGAAGCACCGGCCAACUACGUGCCAGCAGCCGCGGUAAUACGUAGGGUGCAAGCGUUGUCCGGAAUUACUGGGCGUAAAGAGCUCGUAGGCGGUUUGUCGCGUCGUCUGUGAAAUUCUGCAGCUUAACUGCAGGCGUGCAGGCGAUACGGGCAGACUUGAGUACUACAGGGGAGGCUGGAAUUCCUGGUGUAGCGGUGAAAUGCGCAGAUAUCAGGUGGAACACCGGUGGCGAAGGCGGGUCUCUGGGUAGUAACUGACGCUGAGGCGCGAAAGCGUGGGUAGCGAACAGG